UUGCUCACUUUCGCAGCACAUCUAGUAAGCUUGGAACAAUACAGAGAAGAUUAGCAUGGCCCCAUGAACGAAUGACACACAAAUUCAGGAAGCAUUCCAUAUUAAA
rnacentral:snRNA from 1 species